CAUAGAAGAUGAAAUAUUGAAAAGGUUGGUCAUUUUGCAGUACCUAAUUUGAACUCUGGAGAAAUUUCGGUUGCUGGCAGUAUGUUUGGGCUUUGUCGAAUAAUUUGUCAUCACACCCUUGUAGUUGCAAGCAGUUUUCGACACUUAAAGUGUUCUUCUGGACAGGAUACUGAAGGUUAUAUCUUGUUCCAUUUAUAUAUUUAUUUUCUGUAAAGAAGGGUUGAUUAAUUUUACUACUAUAGUUUAUGCUUACCAAGUUUCAUUUUUAGAUCAUCCUUUUGACCGCAUGGCUAAAGCCUGAAGGGGAAGGAACUUUAUGAUUGCCAACGGUAUUUACUCAAGGUCUUCGGUGGAGGCUUUUGGAAUAUUCUUAUCUGGAAAGGAAGCAGCUGCUGUCAUGUUUUGGGUUCAUAUAUUUGCUCUCUUGACUCUUUACAAUGUAUGGGUCCUGGAUUCUUCUCUGCCUCAACGUACUCUUCAAAAAUUUCAGCAAACUGUGGCCAUGCCAUUUUGGCAAUAUCUAAUAUGGUUUUAAGUCCCUUUGCAUGGUAAUAUUUCGGAGCACCAAUGCUUAGAAGAACUGUCAAGAAGGCACUUAAAACAUUCUCUCGUGUUUUUUUACCCUGGUCUAGUAAUUUGUCAUUUCUGUUUAUUUGAAGCAACGAAUCUUACCUAGUUUGUUUGUCAUAUCUGUUGAGAAUAUGUUUAUUUUUUCUAAUCGAAUGUGGUACAUUUCUCUA